UAGAAUGACUGAAGUUCUACUUUAAAAUGACCUGCUGUUUUAUAAACCACGAGUACACUGAUGCAUAUUACAUUAGUGUCUAAAAAUGAGUCCCCUGAACGGAGCAGUAGCAGAUAGCCUACAUUCAUGUUUUUGAAUACACAAGUUUCUGUUUCAGUGUAUGAGUAUACCAGUGUGAAAUUAGAGCCAUCCAAAACAUUGCAGGGGAAGCUUAUAGACGAGCAGAAGUGUUAUAUCUUUGCUAUGAAUUCAACACUGUGAACUGUUGGGCACAGAGAUGGUUUUGGCUCAGUCAAUGUUAAAAUAGCUGUAGCCCACUUCGCAGGAAAUCUUGCAAAGAAUUACUUGGGCAGUCCUUAGAGACCAAAUGUUUUCAUUUUGAUACAAAAAAGGUUCUUCUCAGGCUGAGGUUUGAAACGUUCUGUGGCUUCUGGGAACAAUGCACUCCUCAUUGUUGUAAUGGCGUUUUUAUGAAUAUUUUUUAGUCUGAAAUCCAGCUGUGCCAAAGAACUGAGAAAAGGUAUAAUUGGAUCACGGCAGCUAGAAACUUCUGUAAUUAGUAUGACAACAUAAAAAAUGUGACCUGAAACUACAGGUGCUUGUCAGUAACUAACAGGUCUGUAACAGCUCUAAUGACUGGCUCGUUACAGCUCAUCUCUCCAUCCCCUCUCUGGUCUUCACAGCAGUAUGCAAUUUUUUUCCAGAAUAUUAAGAGUUUAAUUUUGUCAUAUAUACAGUUACGCAUGUUACUCUUUCAUUGACUAUAGCUGCCUUUGUCUUUCUUUGUUCCCCCUACCAGUACACUGUAUUGCAGUGUGUGUUUCAGUGAGUUGCUUCAAAGUAUGACUGAAAUGCAUCUUGUUCCAGCAGAGGUUUUGACAAGCUGCUGCUUGACUCAGUACUUUUGUCACACUUGUUUAAGUAAGAUUAGUUGGAAAACGCUUUGCUUUUCUUUGCUUUGUUCCACCAGAACAGGACACGGAUCCUUCCUGUCUGUGAGCUUUGAAGGGCGAUGGGUAGGGAGACCUCAGAGUCAAAGACUGCAGAGAUGGGUUCUGGGGUCUGUGUGCAGGCUUAGUGCUUGUGUGGGACGGGCUCUGAUAGGUAGAGUGCUGUGGAGGCCGAAUAGCCAGCACUGGAGGAGCUCGUGUUCUCACAGAGUCUUUUGAAGACCAACUUCUGAAUAUAAGCCAUGUUGAUUUGAGCAGUGUAGAUUUGAUGCUGCUGGGCUUCGCAGAGCUACAACCCCAGUAUUUUCUCUGCAGACAAAAAUUCUUACUUCUCUGUUCUGUGCGUUUCAUUAUACUUCCUACUAAGUAAUGUUUGCAUAAUGCUUGACAAGCUUGAAAAAAAUUAACAUUUGAUAAUUGUAGAUGACUUAAAAACUUCAUCACAUCAAUACAUGCCAUGUCAGUGCUUCAGAAGAGCUCUUUGGUUCCUCUGCAGAACAGCAUUCAGGCGCUGCCAGAUGCAGGAGGUGAGCGGUGCUCGUAGUGCCCUGUCAGGGCUGAGGCUCCAUCACACUGGAACCUGGCAGAUCUGGCACUUCCUGCUGAAAGCACAGUGUGCGAUCUGGUGAUGGUAUGUUCAUUUCUGAGAGGCAAUCUGAGAGCAGAUGAAAUGAUCAGAAAGGAGAGAUACAUUUAGGUAAGGUGUGGUGUGAAAAGCAGUCCUUGGUUGUUGUUGGGAACUUGAGCCUGAGAUUCAGCAGACCCUGGUUUGAAUUUUUCUGAUUCUAAAUCCUUGAAUACCUUGUAAAUACUGGAAACCUCUUGCCAUUUCUCUAAAAUGUCCUCACAUCUUCCUCGCAGCAUGCACCCGUUCUUCAGUUCUUUCCCUUUCCCACCCAGUUGAUUAUUCUGGCAGAGCAAUGCAUGAUCCCGUAGGUGCUCAUUUUCUUGGUGCAGGAGUGGCUUGUUAGCACAUGAGGGAUGAUAAAAGGAAUCCUUACGCGUUUUUGAUUCCCCAGAAAAGAGGAAGAAAUGUCUUGAAAAUGCUGGAAACCCAGCAUGCUGUCUCAUCUGAAAAUACUGAGUUGAAUACUUCUGUAUAUCUUGUGAGUCGUUCUGUGGUUCGUGUGGUACUCCCAGUUGUGCCAGCUGGUUGAUUGAAAUGCUUCUCCGUCUCUUUCUGUUGCUUCUUGGACUGAGCUGACCUUUGAUCCUGCUGAGUUGCUGUCUUCCAGUGAUGCUUUCCUUCCUCAGGGUUUAUACAUUCCAUGUUGGUAUUUUUCUCCCCAAUCCUUUGCUGUGACCGACUUGAUGUCACUUCUUUGUUCUCCUUAUUUUGCAUGGCUGUAGCUUCCCUUUGGUCUCGCAACUCUCCAUUUGUUUGCUCUUCAGAAAUUUCUAUUUUUCUAAUUAUUCUGUGAGGCCAUGGACACAGCCAUGCUUCACAGAGCUGGGCCCUGGUUACACUGCAGCUGCUGGCUUUGGGGAGAAAACCUGCAUAGGCAGAGCAGUUCCCUUAAUGCAGUCGGUCGUUCCAGUGCCUGGGAUUGCACCAGGUGCAGUUUUGCACAGUAGCGAUCUGUUAAUUCCACCUUACUGUUCCAAUGCCUUGAAUAAAAAGCCAGAAAUAACAAUGGAAAACUUCAUUCUUCCUGGCUAUGAUGCAUUCUUCUGCACUACUGAAAACUAUUUCUAAAUUCAGGCUUUUCAUGAAAAAACAAACAAACAAACAAACCCAAAGCUGUAAGAGAAUGCCACGAGUUUAAAAAAUAACAAAAUAAUAAAAUCUGUUAUUAUCAAGAGACUUAUGAUGCACCUUCUACUUUGAUCUUAGCAUCCAAGACACGCAGCUUGUUCUGAAGAUGCUUUUCUGCCUUAAAUCUGCAAAUGCAAAAAUGCUGAAUAUUCAGAAUUUUGGCUUGAAGCCCUCUGAACUGCUGAUAGCAGCCACCUGUGAGCUGAAAACCCGGGGAAGAGCUUGAAGUCAGGCCUUCUCCCCCCUCGGCUUUAACCUCAAUAGCACGUGAGAAACCUUUGACUAUCAAAUCUUCCUGUAUUCCUAGCAGUGUUUAGAACUCACAGAUAUUCUAUCUCAUAGUUUGGACAUCUUAGAUGCAAGUUUAUAGACUGAAGAAUUUUUGAUGUGUUCUGUGUUUUUAAAAAGUUUUGCUGGUUUUGGUACGUGUUUACGUUUGCAGGCUCUUUGAAUAGGCAUGCCACAAACGUGGAGGGAACAAACCCGUCGGUUUUGGGCAGGCCGGUCGACACAUCCAGAAAUGCUGAAAUGAACGUUGUUGAUGUCACUGUAGCUCCGUGUUCCGUUUGCUCUCAUGUGCAGCAUACAUCAGUGCUCCAGAAGAAGGUGGGGAUUAAGGAAAAAACUGUGGUCAUUUCUUAAACGUUCUUUUGUAGCUAAACUUAAUUCGUAGGCUUGUUUCUGAGGGUAGUUUGGUAUUUGGGGAGAACUGUGUUAAGCCAUUUUUACAGCUGACUUGAUGACAUUUCUCUAAGUAUAAUAUGCUGUUAUUCCAGCAUGGCAAAGGUCUGCAUAAUUCAUGUGUGCUCAACUUAAUCACUGGUUUUCUUCUUGUAACAAUAAAUGGCAUUGUACCAAAAGCAAUAUAUCCUGUGUGUAGUUAGUAGUGGAAGUAAUUAUUACUGUGCAGCUUUUAUUUCCAUUGUCUUUCCUACGGUUGCUGCUAGCAUGGAUUUUGUGCAUUGACAGUUGUUCCAGGCUAUUAAAGAUGUAUUUUGGGGGAAAAAGUCCUGCAUAAUACUUGUUUGCUUUCUGGGAGCUGCUGCAGUACUUUGAAGCAGAAAAGAGUUGCAUCUUAUGCUGCAAUAAGCUUGUUUUCUUCUGACUCUUAUCACCAGAACACAUCUAGAUCUAGAGAGUUUCUCCGGAAUUGCUCCUCCACAUUUUUCCUCUUGAGAAAGGCCCAGGCUCAACACCAGCAUCGUUAGAGCCAAGGAUUAUAAGAGAGCAGAAGGGCUUUUUUCUCUGCUUGAUUUUGGGAUUCUGCUAAGCUACCACAGCCUUAUUAGAUCAUGGCGCUGUAAAAAGACUUGGGGAAUGCUGCAACUGGUUUUGUUCACCAACUCCUUAACUCAAGACCAGAUAAGAACGCACAGGCAAUAUGCAAUGCAUGGGAACUCUCUAGUCUUAAAUUCUGUCCUUCCUGACCCCCUGAUAGUGUUUCUGCACUGCAAGUAAAUCUGCCCUGGAUAACUUUCCUUUAAAAGAGGGAAGCUUUGUUUUUCCUCAGAGGGACAAGGAGUUAAUACAGUUAUCUUCCCACCACUUGCAUUUGACUGCUAGUGUGUAGUGUUCAUCGUACCAAGAUGUCACUGUUAGAAAAAUUUUAAUACUGUAGAACUAACGGGGUGAAGAACUUGCUCUUCUCAACUUGUAUAUUCCUCCUUGCUUUCGAAGUGUGUAGAACGAUACCUACUUUAAUUAUAACUGAAUAGCUUUUCUGCAUUCUCUGUGCACAUUUUUCUCAGCUGCCUCCUAUUCUAGAUGUGACUUAUUUUACUGCUAAUGGUGUUAUAAGAAACUGUAGUACUACAGGUGUCAUAUGGUA
ensembl:lncRNA